AGGUUUCCUUAUCAAUUCAAACAUUGUAGAUAUUGACUAGCAUAUGUCUCACACUGGUUUUCUCAAAGAAAUGAAGAGAAUAUGUACAAAGUUUAGCUGUUGUUGGCCAAAAGCAAGAACACCAAAGAUAGCUUUUCAGUUGCCCCAAAGAACCGCUAUGCAAAUAAAAUCUUCCCAUUACUUCUCCUUCUGUGCUAACAGAUCAGCACUAACAAAAAACCAUUCCUAUCAGAUAGAGUACCUCUCCACAGCAAUUGUUCUAAGAUCCUUUCCAACCUGCAGGGUGGAAUGAAACUAAAGAUUUAUUUUGCUAGUCACUGGUACUGAUAAACAACCUAAUGUGAAAAUUAAAUUUCUCUGCUGUAGACUUGGGACUCUUCCAUCUAUGUCAGCUCUUUAGCUGUGAUCUUGAAUACUAUGUAGAAUAACGUAAUAGGUUCAUAAAACUGUAUUUCCUUAAGCUUUUUCCCCAUACUCACCACGAACUUAAUUAAUGCAGUUGGCACGGACUAGCAGAAGCUGAUUAUGCUUAACCUCUGUAAACAUUUGCAACAUGCAGGGUGCCUACUCCUGUUUGAAUUGCUUGUAAAAUGGAUAGUAAACCAUCUGUUCCUAGUGUUUUCCCAGGGUGCAAAUGGGAUCCAGAAAAAACAGAAUGUUUUACUCACUCUAAACCAGAUACCUCAAUGGUGAUCAGACUCCAUUUUCCUUUAACGGCUUCAGAAUCUUUAAAUCUGAAUCACUUAAACACAUGAUGCCAGUAACACGUGUGCAAAAAGCAUUAAAGCCAAAAAACGAAGGUGGCUUAUUAAAGCUGGUGCUUCUGUUUAUGAGUAACGCUUGGAGAGCACCACUUUACAUGCACUACUUUACUUACUAUUGUGUUCCUCCAAGAAAAAACAUUACAGAAGUUUCUCUGAAAAUUGGAUGCUUUUAAAAUGAAAGGCUUCAUCUGAGCAGGCAUUUGGCGUGUUGUGACACCACUUGCAUCCCCUUGCACCACAGGAGCACCCUGAGGUGCUUGUUGUGCAGCUAGUUGAGAAGGCAGAAAAGGUGUCCGGUGCUCGGUGUGUGUCUGGCUUGGCGUGGAUAGUGCCAUUACUGCUGCCUCAGUGUCCAGAUGUGCCCGUGGCUGGUGGGGAGCAUACUGUGCAGGGGACAAGGCAGAUGCAGGGCUGGCUGCAGGGAGUUGUCUGUAGCAGGAUAACCAAGCCUGUGGGGAGAAGGAGGAAGGGGGCUUUGCAUGAGUGGCUGCCUGCUGCUCUAUUGUCUCUAGGUGGGGUCCAUUACCUGCAGUGUCAUUUCAAGGGAAACCAAGGCCUGGGUAUAGCCUGCAGCUGGAGCAGGAGCACUGUGGUACCACCUUUCCUGCUCUGGCCAUUCUGGGUCACUUUCUUCCCUCCUCCCCCCAGGCUUAAGGUCAUCGUUGGCAGCCUCCUACACCAGAAAGGUCAGAAUCUGGCACAAAACAUCACCACAGUGUUGGUUGGAAGGGGCUGCUGGAGAUAUCUCAUCCCUUCCCACUUGUAGCAGGACUGUUGCAAAGCUGGACUAGGCUACCUUCAGACAAGUCCCAAAAAAACCUCCAAGGAAGUGGCUCCACACCACCUCUGGUGAGCUGAUGUAGUUCUGCAUGCCCCACAGGAGAGGAGAUGUGCCAUUUGAACUGCUACGGGAAGACCAUUUGGGGUGUUAAUUUCUUUCUGUGGAGUUAAAAAAUAAUAAAACCCCCAUCCAAAGCAGCACCUCAAGUGUUACAGGACAAGUGAGCAUAUACAAGCAAGCAUGAUUUCUUUCUUCAAAAGAUCAUCAGGGUAGGCUUCUCCCAGGACCUUUUCGGGGUUGGAUAGGCAGAGCAGUAUGCUGCUGAGAAGAGAGGGUGAGCUGAGGAUUUUAUUUCAGUUUGUAACACCAGACUUGGAAGCUCUACACAGCAACAAAAAUCCUGGUUUAAGUGGCAUACAAUCAGAGCACUGGUAAGUCUUCACAAUGCUGGGAGGACCUGGGAAAUAUACAUAUGGUACAUUAUUCAGCACAACAGCUUAUUUGAGUGUGUAACAUAUGCCAAGCAAGAUGACAUCAGAUCUCAAGAAUCUACAUUGCAUAUUGCUGAGCUGAUAACCAUGACAGUUCUGAAAAGUGGGAGGAAAAGGAGUUUUGAGCACAGGGUGGUGAAAGAACUUCAACAACUGGAAUAUAAGGGAAUAAAAAAGUUUGCUUGGUGAAAUGAGGCAACUCAAAUAGCUGAGGAGGAGUUUGUCCUCUUGAGGUGCCAGAAAAUUGCAGACAUCUAGUACGGGGUUUGGUCACUAUUGCAGAGACUAAGCUGUGUGUUUAACUGGCUUGUUCUCAGUGGUAAGAGAUCCCAUUUCUCAUGGUUAACGUAAGCACGAGUAACCUUUUCAAGAACUAAACAUUUACUAUUAAUAAUGUGUUUGAGUUAUGAUAGAUUUCUGUCAUGAACUGCUGGUGUAUUAAGUAGGACACUGUAAACCCAAUGCUGUUUUACACGGAAGUAUUUUCCAGUUUUGCUGGCUUGCUCCCUUCAGCAUGAAUUUGUUCAGCACUGCAACCCCAGUAGUGAUGGUAAUAACUGCCAUUGAAGUGGAUCCAAGUAUAUGCUACAUAACAUCCUUUCACCCACCACUGGGUGUGAAAUAAAGGAAUUGUUCAAGUGUAUGAAGUAACUAUUUAAAUCAGAUUUGAACAUGAAAUGAAAAAUCAUUCUGUAGCCAACUGAAACAGCAUGGAAAGUUUGCAGAGGUAGAUGGUAACUGCCUGAACUGGAAUCCAGCCAGCAAGUCCAAGCUAGCAUCCUGAUGCAAAAGCUUUGCUAGAUACUCACUCCUACAGAGAGAAAGGCACUCCUGAAAUGGGAACAGCAAUAAACAGUGAGGACAUCUCUUUCAUGCCUCAUGUCAAAGACAGCAUCACUUGCAGCACACUCCCAUCACGCUCUUUCAAAGCAGACUUUGCUCAGUCAGCCAGUGCCAGCACAAGUUGCAGCAUGCAAGUCGUCCUUGGAGAGCUCUUAUUCAAAUACUAUCCUGCUUCAUUUGUAAAAGAUGACAAGUGGUGGCGUAGUUGCUAUUGACAUAAGUAAGUAUUACUACCUUGCACAGAUGCAUUCCAGCUGAAACAGUUUGAAACUCUAGCAGCUCCCAGUCCAGAGAGGCUAGGUGGAGGCACUGCCCUGGGGCCAGAACUGCCCAAGGAAUUCUUUAUGUGGCAGGCACAGCUGGGCUGACAUGAAACACGCUAGCCAAAAGCCAGUGCAGAGCUCCUCAGGCAGCUGUGCUCUGCAGCUUACUAAACAGUGAGCUUCUCCUUUUGCUGGAGCAGCUCUGCAGGUGAGAGUGAAUCCAUCACAGAAUCAUUUCAGGGCGUGGGUCUCACUCAAAUGUUCAGCAGGCCAGAACAGCAGGCAACCUGCUUUGACGUAAUGGUCAUCACAUUACUCCCUGGAAACUGCAAAGACCAGGAUGAACCUAGACUUUCCUCACACUGAAAUGCUGAACAUAGGUAUGAUCAUGCAGGUUCAGAUACUGGCUUCAUGACAACAGUGGGACUCCCACAAGGUGAAACUUCUGGGCCAGCAUGUCUGUGUCCGGCGUGCUAAUCAUGUGCUGGCACACAGCUAAGAUCCUUCCUAAUGUGGGGUUUUAGAUGCUGUUGCCCCUGAGAUAUUAUCUCAGCUUCAUCUCAUCUCUGUUCUAAUUUUAAUCUCCCAUUAACAGUGGAGACACCCAAAUGACACCCAUGGUGGCACACUCAGCCAGUAUUCACAGCCCUGGAAACCCCAUAUCGACCUCCCAGUGUGGCUAAGAGCCACAGGACACACAUCACAUUGAGUGACAAGCCGAGGUAUGGUUAAGUGACUGGCAGGGAGAGGAUGACCAGGGCUCACUGCUUAAUUAUGGGCCAGGGCUGUGCAUACAGCUGCGUCCCAGGCUGUGAGAUACUGGAGUCCUUCCUGCUGCAGAUCUAUGCUACCAGCCACUGCACACCAGUGCACCUCUGUGAGACCAAGCCUCCUGUUUGCAUGGCUGUUCCUCCAGAGAUGUGGCUAGACCCCCCUGCCUCACAGCAUUUCAAAACCAGCAUGACAAGCUCUCAAACACUGGCCACUAAAAUUCACAUUUUUCACACAUUUUUGCACAGUAGAAUUCCUCCUGGGAGAUAAAGCAGCAGCUCUAUCCCUUGUCUUUACCCCACUCCAUUGGCUUCCCAGUUUGCCUCCUUGCUUCUAGUAGUGUUUGCUCUAGGCAAAUGGAAAAGAGAACACCUCAUAGAUAGCACAGGAGAUUAAAAAACCCCAACACAUAAGAGGCAAGGUUCAUGCUCCACUUCAGAGUGCUGCCUUCCCCGUGACUGCUGGUGAGGUCCCCAGGGCCUCUGAGAGUGCACAGAGUGAGCUGCAGCGUGUCACAUCUUCUCCUUAGGGACACUGUGUCUUUCUUGAUAAGAAUAAAAUUAAAGAUUAAUCUUUUUCUGAGCUGUUUCCAGAAAAGCCCUAGUUCACCCGAGCACUGUCCUAGCUUGGUCAGAAUAUACACACAUCACACCAGGAUGUGCACCAUUCACUUGCAAGGCUCUGCUCCACAAUCUGGAUGUCCCUGUGGUAUCUGAGGGGCUUGGGUAACACUGUAAUUUGCAGUAGGAAGCAUUUCAUGGAUUGUCAGGUUGGGAGUUUAGGCACAUUUUAUUUUGCUUGAUGCUUUUCAGCAAUUGCUGUUGUGACCAACUGAACAGAGAUCUCCAUCCUCAGAUCAGACCUUUACUGGGAGAUCAAACAGGACUGCGGUCACCAUUUUCCACGCAGACUGAGAAGUGUGACCUGGUAGCAAGAAGCAUUUAAUACUGAUCUAUGGGCCUAGUGACGCUUUUUGUGGGGAUUUUUGGUCCACAGCUUCAGCAGGUUUUGCCUACUUUAAUGAGAUCAAGACUCAGGCAAUACAUGACUACCUGAGAGCUGUACUACAAAGGACGUGCAUGCUUCAUAUGGGAAGCUAUGUUACAGUUCCUACUGGCACCAGAGAUGAAGUUCCCCUUGAGUGCAAUAGGAGUGGGCCAGCAGUCCCAGGGACUAUAAUUUGCUACAGCUUCAUGUAAUGCCUAUCGCAAAAGGACCCCAGCCUAGCAGAUGCUCAAGGCACUAUUGCCAUGAAUAAUACUGCUGCAGCAGGAGUUUAUGAUUAAAUGAGACACAUCCCUAAAUAGGUAAGAGCUCGUAGUGGUGACAGAGUCAUUACACGGCAAUAUGUAUGUCUCUGACAGCUGGUGCCAAGCAGCCCAACCUGUCUCAGGAUACCUCUUUCAACACCCUGCCUCCCAUGCCAUCCAGCCAGGUCCUGGAGAAGGAAGACCUAUGCCAACAAUAGCAGAUAGCAGUUAGAUCUCAGUGUUAGGAACAAUGGGAUUUUCUUUGAAUUAGCCUUGCUUCAUCCAGUGUUUAUAACCUGUUCGCUUUUGAUUACAGAAUAACCUGGCAAACUGGUACUGUUACAGAUUUGUUAAUAAAUCAAGAUUGAUUGACUUUAUUUGAUUGAUUAUUUGAUUUUAUAAAAUCAAUUAUGUAAUAGAAAUAUAGAAGGAUAAGAAAUAUAUUUUAAUGAAAAUUCUAUAGUAAAAGCUGCUAUAAAAAUCCUCUGUACAGCCCCGUACUAAGGCCGGAGGUAUUGGUCAGAAUCACCUAGUAGGAAUGUUUAGAACUUAGAUAACAGACUUAAGAUUUGAGAUGAUUGUUUAUAUGUAACCUAGGAGAAUGUACUAAAAUGUCAAAAUGAGAAUUAAUGUGAACUGGGGAGAGUCGAGUGAAGCAACCCAUAGUUGCCGGCCAAGAAACAGUUACCUUAAGUGAACGGUAGUUCCGGCAGGGGGAGAUCGAGACCACCGACUCAUAUACCACCUACCCAAAUCGUACCCCAGACCCAUUUCCGGACCUUUCUAAGCUUUACUGCGCAGAAUCGGAUAUGGGAGGAGAGUAUGUUAAGGAUUUAUGGGAAAACUUAUGAUUAUGCAGGAAUACUUAAUGAAUAUGUAUGAAUGAGUUCUAUAUAAGGUGUAUGAUUUUGAACCAUGGUGUGCAUUGAUCGUGAGAGGACUCACCAUGCACCCAGCCGUUAAUAAAGUGUCUGCUUAUCUACAUCA